rnacentral:rRNA from 1 species
AGUGAACGCUGGCGGUAGGCCUAACACAUGCAAGUCGAACGGCAGCACAAUAAGAGCUUGCUCUUACGGGUGGCGAGUGGCGGACGGGUGAGGAAUACAUCGGAAUCUACUUUUUCGUGGGGGAUAACGUAGGGAAACUUACGCUAAUACCGCAUACGACCUACGGGUGAAAGCAGGGGAUCUUCGGACCUUGCGCGAUUGAAUGAGCCGAUGUCGGAUUAGCUAGUUGGCGGGGUAAAGGCCCACCAAGGCGACGAUCCGUAGCUGGUCUGAGAGGAUGAUCAGCCCCACUGGAACUGAGACACGGUCCAGACUCCUACGGGAGGCAGCAGUGGGGAAUAUUGGACAAUGGGCGCAAGCCUGAUCCAGCCAUACCGCGUGGGUGAAGAAGGCCUUCGGGUUGUAAAGCCCUUUUGUUGGGAAAGAAAAGCAGCAGGUUAAUACCCCGCUGUUCUGACGGUACCCAAAGAAUAAGCACCGGCUAACUUCGUG